CGGGAGGCAGCAGUUAGGAAUCUUCCGCAAUGGGCGAAAGCCUGACGGAGCGACGCCGCGUGGUGGAUGAAGUCCUUCGGGACGUAAACACCCUUUAUGAGGGAGGAAGUUUAUUGACGUUACCUCAUGAAUAAGGGGCUCCCAAUUCUGUGCCAGCAGGAGCGGUAAUACAGAAGCCCCAAGCGUUACCCGGAUUUACUGGGCGUAAAGGGUGUGUAGGCGGUGAUAUUAGUCAGUUGUUAAAACCUGUGGCUUAACCUCGGGAUUGCGACUGAAACGGUAUCACUAGAAGGAGUCAGAGGUGUACGGAACUCAAGGUGUAGGGGUGAAAUCCGUUGAUAUCUUGGUGAACACCAAAUGCGAAGGCAGUACACUGGGACUUUCUUGACGCUGAGGCACGAAAGCGUGGGUAGCGAACGGGAUUAGAUACCCGGGUAGUCCACGCCCUAAAC
rnacentral:rRNA from 1 species